rnacentral:rRNA from 1 species
GACGAACUGUCCAAACGUUGUUCGGAAUCACUGGGCUUAAAGGGCGCGUAGGCGGUCAAACAAGUCAAGGGUGAAAUUCUGCAGCUUAACUGUAGAAGUGCCUUUGAUACUGUUUGUCUGGAGGGAGAUAGGGGUGUGCGGAACUUCCAGUGGAGCGGUGAAAUGCGUUGAUAUUGGAAGGAACGCCGGAGGCGAAAGCGGCGCACUGGAUCUCUUCUGACGCUGAGGCGCGAAAGCUAGGGGAGCAAACGGG